UACGUAGGUGGCAAGCGUUGUCCGGAAUUAUUGGGCGUAAAGCGCGCGCAGGCGGUCCUUUAAGUCUGAUGUGAAAGCCCACGGCUCAACCGUGGAGGGUCAUUGGAAACUGGGGGACUUGAGUGCAGGAGAGAAGAGUGGAAUUCCACGUGUAGCGGUGAAAUGCGUAGAGAUGUGGAGGAACACCAGUGGCGAAGGCGACUUCCUGGACCAAUACUGACGCUCAUGUGCGAAAGCGUGGGGAGCAAACAGG
rnacentral:rRNA from 1 species